ensembl:lncRNA
ACAGCGAUGGAGGUGUCUAUGCAGCUGUAUGCGUUGCUGCUGAGUGGAGCGGUCCUCCUGUCACUCAUCCUGUUGACUGGCCUGUGUCUUCGCUGCAGAAGACACAACCUGCCUACGUCCAUUCAGCAGCGUUACAGUGAGGAUUACACUCAGCACACCCCAGGAUUCGGCUUGGCCCACCCACCAUACAACCCCUCUUCAGCCACAAGCUGGGGUGCUCCCCCUUCCAGCCUCCUUUCACCCAUUUCACCACAGAUCGUUCUGAGACCGAACUCUAUCACCCCAACUGAAAAUGAGAGUAAUGACGGCUAUGAGAGUCCAGGAGAAGAGUAUGUCAACGAGGUGAUGGAUGACUAUGAACCAGGAUCAGGCUACCUAAUAGUGUUACCAUCAGAUCUUCCUGGGACUGGGUCUCUGUGUCAUUCCAACCAAUGUCUCAUCUCCAAAAGCUCCCAAAGCACAGAAAACAGUGGCGUGGUUGGCAAUAUGAAAAUCAAUAUGACCGUCGACGUGGAAAAGAGUGAUGACAGUGAUGAUGGCAGCAACGACUAUGUCAAUACUAAAGAAAGCAAUGAUGCGGAGGUCAAUGUCGACUUGGGAAAGAGUGAUGACAGUGAUGAAGGCAGCAACGACUAUGUCAAUACUAAAGAAAAUAGUGGCGCAGAGGGCAAUAUGAAUGUCGUUGUGGAAAAGAGCGAUGACAGUGAUGACGAAGGCAACGACUAUGUCAAUACUAAAGACAUGUGAAGCCUCCCCAUCACAUAGCAGAUUCUGACGGAGUCGAUCGACUGCUGGAUUUAUCAUGAGUGCAACCAAGUUUCAAAGGGAAACCUACACAGCGUAACUAACAUCUACAUAGGGGUUCUGCAAUAUGGACAAGAGCACUGUGCAACUCACUGCUGUGGCUGAUGAAACGUUUCAAAAGACCUUAACCUCAUCCACCAGCUGUCUCUGAACUAUGCGGUAAUAAUUAAGGCCUAGGGAGAACAUGUUCUAAGUUUUAUUGUAUGGUGUAGGGCAAAUGUCUUCGAACACAUCUCUUGGUGCCCCAGCUGCAACCAUGUUACAUUUUUAAGCUCUUUCCUGACUAUUGAAGAGAAGGGAUGACAGUGGGGAAAAGAGGUGCUGUCGUAGGGCAGAUUUGAACCCAUGUUGACACCGCGGCAUUAUUGUUUUCAAUGUAUGGAUUUGCUGACGACUCCUGAGAAUGUUCGUUCUAGUUUACUCAUUUUUUCUAAUCUUUAUUACUGUGGAUUCAAAUCUGGUUUGGAUUUUUUUUUGGUCAAUAUAAGAAAUGCUUUGCCAUAAUCUAUAGCCCUAUUCGGACAGGAUAAGUUUUACUGGGGAAGCUUAGUUAAUGUAAUGUGCACAAAUCACCACAUCCAUAGUUUUUCCCAUCCAAAUCUGCCAUUUAGUCAUUUUUAAAAUGAUCCCAUCCAAGGUUUUGGCAAACUACCAGGUCCUCUUAAAAUACUUAUCCUGUCAUCCCUGUGUUGAGGGAUAUUAGAGUAACAGGUCCUGCACCCAGUUUGGGAAAGAACAUGAACAAAUGCUUAAAAAUACGCUUUGGAUGUAACCUACAGAUGAAUGAACUUUUGUCACAUCAACUGUCUUAGUGCCAUACUUCUUUUAAAAGAUGAAGUGGAAAAUAUUGUGCCAAUGAAUUGAUGUUACAGAUCAUGGUUCUUAUUGACUUUCUAUACACUGAAAGCCAUUAGGUCAAUAUUAGGCUAUCCCGAGACGUGGGAGCGCCUCCAGGCUUCCAUCAUGAGGAAGGAAUACAUAAUUAGGGGCAGUUUGGAAAAACGGACAAGAUGGAUAUAAAUUACAUAGGACUAGUAUUACUAUAGAACGUCGGCUGUGCGGAUAGGGCUUAUGAACCAUUGUGAUGUUUUCUGAAUGAAUUGAAGCUGAUAUGGAUGGCAUAUAGUUUACUAUUAAAGAUGUGGUUCAAAUCAGUAAUGAUCAUUCACAAAUGCUUGUUUGUUACAUACACUGCUCAAAAAAAAUAAAGAGAACACUUAAACACAAUGUAACUCCAAGUCAGACUUUUCUGUGAAAUUAAACUGUCCACUCAGAAAGCAACACUGAUUGACAAAUUUCACAUGCUGUUGUGCAAAUGGAAUAGACAACAGGUGGAAAUUCAAGACACCCCCAAUAAAGGAGUGGUUCUGCAGGUGGGGACCACAGACCACUUCUCAGUUCCUAUGCUUCCUGGCUGAUGUUUUGGUCACUUUUGAAUGCUGGCGGUGCUUUCACUCUAGUGGUAGCAUGAGACGGAGUCUACAACCCACACAAGUGGCUCAGGUAGUGCAGCUCAUCCAGGAUGGCACAUCAAUGAGAGCUGUGGCAAGAAAGUUUGCUGUGUGUGUCAGCGUAGUGUCCAGAGCAUGUAGGCGCUACCAGGAGACAGGCCAGUACAUCAGGAGACGUGGAGGAGGCCGUAGGAGGGCAACAACCCAGCAGCAGGACCGCUACCUCCGCCUUUGUGCAAGAAGGAGGAGGAGCACUGCCAGAGCCCUGCA